GGUCAUUGGAGGUGGUUGGCGGUGGUUGGAGAUGGUCGUGGGUGGACAAGGAGGACGAGAAAGACGAGGAGAACAAGGUGGACGAGGAGGACAAGGAUUUGUGAUCGGUAUAACCCGAGGUGGUUAGCAGUGGUCGUUGGACGUGGUUGGCGGUGGUUGGAGAUGGUCGUGGGUGGACAAGGAGGACGAGAAAGACGAGGAGAACAAGGUGGACGAGGAGGACAAGGAUUUGUGAUCGGUAUAACCCGAGGUGGUUAGCAGUGGUCGUUGGACGUGGUUGGCGGUGGUUGGAGAUGGUCGUGGGUGGACAAGGAGGACGAGAAAGACGAGGAGAACAAGGUGGACGAGGAGGACAAGGAUUUGUGAUCGGUAUAACCCGAGGUGGUUAGCAGUGGUCGUUGGACAUGGUUGGCCGUGGUUGGAGGUGAUCAAGCUGGAUGAGAUGGAUGAGGUGGACGAGGAGAACGGAGGUGGUCGGAGGUAGUAGGGGGUGUUAGGAUGUGUUAAGAGGUGGUAGGCAGGAGUAGUAGAAGUUGGAUUAGGAGUAGAAGUAAGAUUUGGAGUAGGAGUAGGAGUAGGAGAAAGAGUAGGAAUAGGAGUAGAAGUAGUAGGAGGACUAGUAGUACCUACCCUACCCUAUCCUACACCCU
rnacentral:lncRNA from 1 species